AAGCUCGUAGUUGAAUUUCGGGGUUAGUAGGUUGGUCAUGCCUCUGGUAUGUACUGGUCUCACUGAUUCCUCCUUCCUUAUGAACCGUAAUGCCAUUAAUUUGGUGUUGCGGGGAAUUUGGACUGUUACUUUGAAAAAAUAGAGUGUUUAAAGCAAGCUAACGCUUGAAUACACUAGCAUGGAAUAAUGAAAUAGGACGUUCGAUCUUAUUUUGUUGGUUUCUAGGAUUGACGUAAUGAUUAAUAGGGAUAGUUGGG
rnacentral:rRNA from 1 species